GUCCACGCCCUAAACGAUGAUGACUAGUUGUUGGAGGAGUUAAAUCCUUUAGUAACGCAGCUAACGCGAGAAGUCAUCCGCCUGGGGAGUACGGUCGCAAGAUUAAAACUCAAAGGAAUUGACGGGGGCCCGCACAAGCGGUGGAUGAUGUGGUUUAAUUCGACGCAACGCGAAAACCUUAACCUACCCUUGACAUGUACGGAACUUCACAGAGAUGUGGAGGUGCCCGAAAGGGAGCCGUAACACAGGUGCUGCAUGGCUGUCGU
rnacentral:rRNA from 1 species